rnacentral:antisense_RNA from 1 species
AGGUCAGGAAAGCCUGAACUUUCUCAUCUAACACCUGUUCAAGUCGGAGGAUGCUGAUUAAUUCAUGAUGGAAAGGUAUCAAUUUCACAGCCCAGACUUCUACAUUCUUGAAAUGCUGUUCUCAUGGGAGACAUUAAAUAAGCUUUGAAAUAACUUGCCAUGACACCCAGGAUGCAGCUGUAGGAACACCACUGGGUCCCUGGAUAUCAUGUAAGCCCUUAAGUAAAGGUGCCAUCAAAUGAUUUCUCAGAAAUUAUAAAGAAACAAAAGGACCAUAAACAAGAUAAGGUGGCACGAGGAAACACUAAAAGUACCUUUCAGAGCUGACUGGCAAAGAAACUCCUGAGGUGAUGGUUCUACCCCAAUAUUACUUCUUCCAAGAGCAACCUAACUGACCUUGUAUUGAAGACAGCAUAACCCCCAAGAGGAAAGGAGCUUGGAGCCCUGAAUCAGAGUAGAAGACAGGCUGAACACCAGCCUUGGACUGUUGUGUGAAUGAAAAACAAGUUUUGAGAUUUGUGUGGUUUACUUAUUAUAGUUACUGUUAUUAUUAAAGUUUUUCACUGCUUUACUCUCAG